AGGACGAACGCUGGCGGCGUGCCUAACACAUGCAAGUCGAACGAGAUCCAUGCAGUGGCAACACUGCGGAAGAUCUAGUGGCGAACGGGUGAGUAACACGUGAGGAACUUGCCCCGGAGACCGGGAUAACUCUCCGAAAGGAGAGCUAAUACCGGAUACCUCCACUUGGUCGCAUGGCCGAGUGAAGAAAUGGAUUCCGCUCCGGGAGAGCCUCGCGGCCUAUCAGCUAGUUGGUGGGGUAACGGCCCACCAAGGCAUCGACGGGUAGCUGGUCUGAGAGGACGAUCAGCCACACUGGGACUGAGACACGGCCCAGACUCCUACGGGAGGCAGCAGUGGGGAAUCUUGCGCAAGUGGGCGAAAGCCUGACGCAGCAACGCCGCGUGCGGAUGAAGGCCUUCGGGUUGUAAACCGCUUUCGAGUGGGACGAAGUCAAGACCGGUACCACAGAAGAACGCCCCGGACAACUACGUGACCAGACAGCCGACGUAAUCG
rnacentral:rRNA from 1 species